UACGUAGAAGACUAGUGUUAUUCAUCUUUAAUAGGUUUAAAGGGUACCUAGACGGUAUAAUUAGUCUUUAACAGGAAACGGUUAUACUAGAGUUAUAUAUGAGGAGGUGAGUAUUUGUGGAGUAGAGUUGAAAAUUCUUUGAUACCAUGAAGACUGGUAAAGGCGAAAGCAACCUUUUAUCUAAAUAACUGACGUUGAGGGACGAAGGCUCGGGUCGCGAACAGGAUAGAA
rnacentral:rRNA from 1 species